rnacentral:rRNA from 1 species
CAGUGGGGAAUCUUGCGCAAUGGGCGAAAGCCUGACGCAGCCAUGCCGCGUGGAUGAUGAAGGUCUUAGGAUUGUAAAAUCCUUUCAGCGGGGACGAUAAUGACGGUACCCGCAGAAGAAGCCCCGGCUAACUUCGUGCCAGCAGCCGCGGUAAUACGAAGGGGGCUAGCGUUGCUCGGAUUUACUGGGCGUAAAGGGCGCGUAGGCGGACAGUUAAGUUGGGGGUGAAAGCCCGGGGCUCAACCUCGGAACUGCCUUCAAUACUGGCUGUCUUGAGUGUGAGAGAGGUGUGUGGAACUCCGAGUGUAGAGGUGAAAUUCGUAGAUAUUCGGAAGAACACCAGUGGCGAAGGCGACACACUGGCUCACUACUGACGCUGAGGCGCGAAAGCGUGGGGAGCAAACAGGAUUAGA